UACGUAGGGUGCGAGCGUUGUCCGGAAUUAUUGGGCGUAAAGAGCUCGUAGGCGGUCUGUUGCGUCAGGAGUGAAAACUCGGGGCUUAACCCCGAGCCUGCUUCUGAUACGGGCAGACUAGAGGUAUGCAGGGGAGAACGGAAUUCCUGGUGUAGAGGUGAAAUUCGUAGAUAUCAGGAGGAACACCAGUGGCGAAGGCGGCUUCCUGGACACUAACUGACGCUGAGACGCGAAAGCGUGGGGAGCAAACAGG
rnacentral:rRNA from 1 species